CAUCCUACCCAUCGUUCUAAUGUUUUAACUUUGCUCUGAAUUUAUAAAUAGUAAAGGCCAAAGACAUAGAAUAUACAUUUAGUAGCUUUAUACCAAGAAAUUUGCCUUGAAAGCUGCUGUUCGUGGAGGGAAAAGUGUAGCAAAUUCCUGUCUAUUUUUAUUUUUUAUUUUUUUUUAACAAAGACAAGAUUUAUGUCCCUAGAUUUUGAAGGUUAAGGCAAAUAUAAAUACAUAUCUGCACACUAUUUUUUAGCAGUUGCAUGAGUAAGAGUAAUGAGAUUUGUAUUUUAAGGACUUUGUCAUGUGGAUGUUUUGGAGUUGACUGCUCAGAUCUUUUAUAGGGCUUUAAUAUUUUUGAUCUAUUACCUUGAUGACAUUAUUUGUCCACACUUGAGCCCAUCUGUCUUUCUAGCUAUGACCUUGUUAUGAACAGUAUUUGCACUCGGUGCAAAUAUCCAUGUCUUACCUAAUUAAGCAACAUCAUAGUGCCAUAACUCAAGGAAGUUGAAUGAGGUGAACAUAGAUACAGCUCUUUCCCCUUCCCCCCCUUUUUAAAUGUAACAAAUACUUUUUAUGUUCCCCUUCCCCCCUUCCCCUUUUCCCCUUUCCCCUUUUGGAAACGUGUCAGGAACCAAAUAGUUUAAGAUGAGCAGUUGAGGGGACUGAGAGAGUGAUCGACACAGAACCUGGCUUCUUCGUGCUUCAUCAUAAGUCGUGCUGCCGGCCAGGUUACUUAAGCACCCUUUUAACAAGGAAACCUUGUGGGAGAUCCAGCUGGCCGACUCGAGUUCAGAAACAGGACCACAGAGGUUACACUCUGGGAUCCUGGCCAUGAGGUUGGAUGCCUCACCUUACUGAAAGGAGACACUGGACCUAAAUGGCGCAGCAUGAUUUUGUUCCUGCUUGGCUAAAUUUCUCAACACCACAGUCAGCUAAGUCACCUACUGCCACCUUCGAAAAACACGGAGAGCACCUACCCAGAGGAGAAGGUAGAUUUGGAGUAAGCCGCCGUCGACAUAAUUCCUCUGAUGGUUUUUUUAACAAUGGUCCCCUACGAACUGCAGGAGAUUCUUGGCACCAGCCCUCCCUGUUCCGCCAUGAUUCUGUGGACUCUGGUGUCUCUAAGGGAGCAUAUGCUGGAAUCACAGGGAACCCAUCUGGUUGGCAUAGCUCUUCCCGAGGUCAUGAUGGCAUGAGCCAACGUAGUGGAGGUGGCACAGGGAACCAUCGCCAUUGGAAUGGCAGCUUCCACUCCCGGAAAGGGUGUGCUUUUCAGGAAAAGCCACCUAUGGAGAUUAGGG
rnacentral:lncRNA from 1 species